rnacentral:rRNA from 1 species
UACGAAGGGGGCUAGCGUUGUUCGGAAUUACUGGGCGUAAAGCGCACGUAGGCGGAUACUUAAGUCAGGGGUGAAAUCCCGGGGCUCAACCCCGGAACUGCCUUUGAUACUGAGGAUCUUGAGUUCGGGAGAGGUGAGUGGAACUGCGAGUGUAGAGGUGAAAUUCGUAGAUAUUCGCAAGAACACCAGUGGCGAAGGCGGCUCACUGGCCCGAUACUGACGCUGAGGCACGAAAGCGUGGGGAGCAAACAGG